GUUUAGGACACACUACCCCAAAAUAUGCCACCUCAGCAUGUUAAGAAACAGCAGAAGCAGAGAGAUCCUUCUGACCUUCCACCCUUCUCGCCCUUCUUCCCUGAAGCCAGAAAGGAUUUUCUGACCUUCCCCCAACACAGGUCAUAACACCCUCUUGUGACAAGUGCCCUCCCUAUACCACUGGAGGAAAGAGAUCCUGAUAUCUGAAUACGAAGGGUCACAGAGAAGAAUCUGAACAAUCGGGCCUUGCUAAGUUUCCCUCACUUUAUUACCAUUAGGUCAUACCCUCUUUGUCCUAUAUGUUUCUCCACAACUGUCCAUUCCUCAUCAAAUCUGG
rnacentral:lncRNA from 1 species